UCACAACAAAGAGACUGUUGAGCGAGUGGUUUUCGUUUAGUUGUUUUUUUUUAUUAUUUUGCACGGAAAAUACCCGUUCUCUGGCAUUUCCGAAAGUCUUAUCUAUUAAUAGCAAACAUGCCGAAGCUAAAGAGUUUGCUGCCCAACAUCUUUGGCGGCAACACCAACAACAGCAACAACACACCAUCGGAGGGACGACUAGAAACAGAUGCAUUACCAGUUGAUGAGAAUGAAGAUAACAAUAAUAGUGGCGCUUUGUCACUGCCUUCGCAGACGCCAACGGCAUCAGCUGACCUAACCGAAUCCGUGCUGCGCGAACUCUCCGAUCCCAACUACAACUCGAUGGAUGUGGUGCAGUCCGCACAAAUUCCAGGCUCCGCCCUGGUCAACAGCAGCAGCACCAGCAGUAACAGCAACACCAUGAAUACAAUGAAUGUGCAUAGUGCGCAGCAACAGGUGGUCAUGAACUUCUCGAAUGCGAGCAACUUACACUUUGGCUCCGUUUAUAAUUUCAAUCAAAAUCUAAGCGCCUCCAGCUCUCGCAAGAGCAGCACAAGCGCCACCGAUGAGGGCGCCAUAGCAGCGUUGCAAUCACCAGAUGGAAAGCGACACUUGCCACGCAAAACCGUUAGCAUUGUGGCAAUGAUGCAGUCGCAAGACGAACCAGAUAUGCGCAUCCUGGACGCAGUAGCCACACAUCUGGGUGAGGGCUGGAAGCAGAUAAUGCGCGAACUCGGACAUUCCGAAGGGCAGAUCGAACAGGCGAUUAUAGAUCAUCAGGCGCAUGGCAACAUCAAAGAGGUGAUCUACCAAUUGUUGUUGCAGUGGGUGCGUGGCGCAGACGAUGGCGUCGCCACCGUUGGACGGCUGACAACACUGCUGUGGGAGCAGCAGCAUCGCGAGUGUGUGCAGCGCAUGAAACUGGUUUGGAAAGCGCUUGAGAAACGUAAAACCUCCAGUUAGCUGCUAAUCAAUUAAUUGCUGUGCUUCCCCCAAAUCAAUGUAUGAACCAAACAGGGCAUUUUUAAACGGCGAUUCAUUCGAAGCAAAGAACUCUUUGAUGUUCGUCUUCUUUAUGAUAGUAUGUGUUCUCCACCCUCGCUCUCCUCGUCCCUCAACAUCACAGCACAUACUAUAUAUGUAUACAUAUACACAUCUUACUAACGCACGUUGAAACGUUUUCAAGUACAUAGUUUGCGAUCUCAGCAAACAAGCAAUCCAUUUGUGCAAUAACUUUUGUGUGUGAACAUUUUCGACCAAAACGGAAUCGGCAUUGUAUAAAUAUAUGAUACAAUAUAACCUUCGAAUAAGUGCCUUGAAGUCUAUCCUCAAACGAACUUGAUUUUUUCCUCUUCUGUAAAAUGUGAUAUUUAAGUCGAACGCUACACAAAAGCAACACAAUAUUGUUAUGCAAAGAUUCAAACAAUCUUUGUGAUCUUUGCACUAAACAUAUCAAUCAACAUUUGCGCUCCAUUGCCAUUAUUCGACUGAUAAUCCGGCAGCUGUUCCAUGCGCUCCAGCCAGCCACUAAGCUUUGGAUAUUUGUCCUGCUCAAUGGCCGCCAAACCCACCAGGCUGGACACCGAGGACACCACACUGUAGUCCGCAAUGGUCAAACUGUUGCCACACAGAUACUUUUG